CGGCGCCUGACUCGUCGGCUGGUUCUGCCAGUCUUCGGGGUGCUCUGGAUCACGGUGCUGCUGUUCUUCUGGGUAACCAAGAGGAAGUUGGAGGUGCCGACGGGACCUGAAGUGCAGACCCCUAAGGUUUGGUCCUUGUUUUUCAAGGUGGCUGGGAUGAGCCCUUGGGCGCCUCAGGUGCCUGUAUCACCCACUCCUCCCUACCAAAGAGGGCAUCUUCCUACAGGUAGGUUGACUGUGUGUCCCCAGGAGUGUGAGGUGCCAGCUGCUUUUCUGCCCAAGCAGGCCCUGGGUACUGUGGGUAGGAUGAUCUGCCAGAGCUCCUGGGCGCACCCCAGGAUGUCUGGAGAGAGAAGUUGCAUCCAGCAGGAGGCUCUGGCCAUGCUCUGAAUAAGUGGCGCAAGUGACUGUCAAGUGUCCUGCAUUCAGUGCUAGUAGAAGACCUGGUUUGUGGCCUCCGUUAUUGGCCAGGAGUCCACGUAGAAAGAAGAGGCUUCCAGGGGAGAGGUGAAUGUGAGUGCCUUUUAGGAGAAAUGCUGGGUGCUUUAUCUGUAUCAGUUAUUCAUUCCUCACAACCACCCCACAAGGUGGGCAGGCUGAGAUUCAGCGACUGCUACCAGUACAGUCAUACUGGUUAUUUAAGGUUGGUGCCUUUCUCUUUAAACAGUGCCUGGGAGGUUGCAGUGAGCCGAGAUUGCACCACUGCACUCCAUCCUGGGCAAUAGAGGGAGACCCUGUUUC
rnacentral:lncRNA from 10 species